CCUACGGGAGGCAACAGUGAGGAAUAUUGGUCAAUGGGCGAGAGCCUGAACCAGCCAAGUCGCGUGAGGGAGUACUGCCCUAUGGGUUGUAAACCUCUUUUGUCGGGGAGCAAAAGCCGGACGUGUCCGGCUGUGAGAGUACCCGAAGAAAAAGCAUCGGCUAACUCCGUUCCAGCAGCCGCGGUAAUACGGGGGAUGCGAGCGUUAUACGGAUUUAUUGGGUUUAAAGGGUGCGCAGGCGGAUUUUUAAGUCAGCGGUAAAAUCGUGGGGCUCAACCCCAUCCAGCCGUUGAAACUGGGGAUCUAGAGUGUGCGAGCGGUAUGCGGAAUGCGUGGUGUAGCGGUGAAAUGCAUAGAGAUCACGCAGAACCCCGAUUGCGAAGGCAGCAUACCGGUGCACAACUGACGCUCAGGCACGAAAGCGUGGGUAUCGAACAGGAUUAGAUACCCCAGUAGUC
rnacentral:rRNA from 1 species